rnacentral:rRNA from 1 species
AGCGAACGCUGGCGGCAGGCUUAACACAUGCAAGUCGAGCGGGCAUCCUUGUGGUGUCAGCGGCAGACGGGUGAGUAACGCGUGGGAACGUGCCCUUCGGUUCGGAAUAACUCAGGGAAACUUGAGCUAAUACCGGAUACGUGCGAGAGCAGAAAGGUUUAUCUGCCGAAGGAUCGGCCCGCGUCUGAUUAGCUAGUUGGUGAGGUUAUGGCUCACCAAGGCGACGAUCAGUAGCUGGUCUGAGACGAUGAUCAGCCACACUGGGACUGAGACACGGCCCAGACUCCUACGGGAGGCAGCAGUGGGGAAUAUUGGACAAUGGGGGCAACCCUGAUCCAGCCAUGCCGCGUGAGUGAUGACGGCCUUAGGGUUGUAAAGCUCUUUUCUCCGGGACGAUAAUGACGGUACCGGAGGAAUAAGCCCCGGCUAACUUCGUG